AGUGGCGGACGGGUGAGUAACGCGUAAGAAUCUAACUUCAGGACGGGGACAACAGUUGGAAACGACUGCUAAUACCCGAUGUGCCGCAAGGUGAAACCUAAUUGGCCUGAAGAAGAGCUUGCGUCUGAUUAGCUAGUUGGUGGGGUAAAGGCCUACCAAGGCGACGAUCAGUAGCUGGUCUGAGAGGAUGAGCAGCCACACUGGGACUGAGACACGGCCCAGACUCCUACGGGAGGCAGCAGUGGGGAAUUUUCCGCAAUGGGCGAAAGCCUGACGGAGCAACGCCGCGUGAGGGAGGAAGGUCUUUGGAUUGUAAACCUCUUUUCUCAAGGAAGAAGUUCUGACGGUACUCGAGGAAUCAGCCUCGGCUAACUCCGUGCCAGCAGCCGCGGUAAUACGGGGGAGGCAAGCGUUAUCCGGAAUUAUUGGGCGUAAAGCGUCCGCAGGUGGUCAGCCAAGUCUGCCGUCAAAUCAGGUUGCUUAACGACCUAAAGGCGGUGGAAACUGGCAGACUAGAGAGCAGUAGGGGUAGCAGGAAUUCCCAGUGUAGCGGUGAAAUGCGUAGAGAUUGGGAAGAACAUCGGUGGCGAAAGCGUGCUACUGGGCUGUAUCUGACACUCAGGGACGAAAGCUAGGGGAGCGAAAGGGAUUAGAUACCCCUGUAGUCCUAGCCGUAAACGAUGGAUACUAGGCGUGGCUU
rnacentral:rRNA from 1 species